rnacentral:rRNA from 1 species
AGCGAACGCUGGCGGCGUGCCUAACACAUGCAAGUCGAACGCGAAAGGGGGGGCAACUCCCCGAGUAGAGUGGCGCACGGGUGAGUAACGCGUGGGUAAUCUGCCCUCGAGUGGGGAAUAACCUCGCGAAAGCGGGGCUAAUACCGCAUAACAUCUCCUUCUCUUCGGAGAGGGUGAUCAAAGAUGACCUCUGCAUGCAAGUUGUCGCUUGAGGAGGAGCCCGCGUCCCAUUAGCUAGUUGGUAGGGUAACGGCCUACCAAGGCUUCGAUGGGUAGCCGGCCUGAGAGGGUGACCGGCCACACUGGGACUGAGACACGGUCCAGACUCCUACGGGAGGCAGCAGUGAGGAAUAUUGCGCAAUGGGCGAAAGCCUGACGCAGCGACGCCGCGUGGAGGAUGAAGGCCUUCGGGUCGUAAACUCCUGUCGAGGGGGAAGAAACGAUGCUUCGUCAAUAGCGAGGUGUCUUGACGGUACCCCUGGAGGAAGCCCCGGCUAACUACGUGCCAGCAGCCGCCGUAACAC